AAUAUCUGGAAUAUAGAACAUUUAUUAAAUCAUAAAUUUAUUACAUCGUUGUCACUAAUUUAGAUACUGCUGUAAAAUCAAUAGAAUGCGAGAAUGGAUUAAUACACUACGAUUUGCGAUACAACGGUUUGCGAGCGACUGCCGGUAACGACUGUCGUGCAAAUUUGAUAUUUCUGUGUUUGUAUUCUGCGUGAAUUAUAUGUAGCGACUACUUUUCUAUACUUUAUGCUCUUAGAAGUGUCUUUGGCAAGCCGGUCUUCUUGUUUACUAUACCACUUUAGCGUUAUCAGAAUAAAAAUGAAAAUCGGUUAGGUAUAAUCAAAGAAUCAAUACCUACAAUUCUUUUUCAUAUUUUUUAUUCCCCGCGGCAUUCCCUGAGUAUGCUAUGACAAAUAUUAAGUCCAAUAUUAUCCCACCUUACGUCCAUCUGCUCCAGCGCCGUCAAGUCUGAAGGUGUAUCCGAACACGCUGGUGGAUAUCUUCGCUUCAUACACGACCAUCCAUCCGGAAUAUCUUCAGUGAUGUUUAUGAUGCCAGUGAGCGUGGAGUCAUAAGUCUUCGUCAUGAUGCUGAGCUCCUGCACUGAUAUGAGGGGCUUCGGGCCAUCGUAACACGGCCCCACACGCGACACCAGCAAAUGCGUCGGCGCCACCGAACUACUCGCUACCAACAAUGGAGAUAUUAAAAUAUAUAUUCCGGAACGCAUAGUGAUUUAGUUAUUACUACUGUAUUCAGAAUAACAUUAUAACAGUCCAGUUUUGUGUGGAUAAAUUAGGAUGAUAUACACAAUACAUGUGAAAUUAAAUUCUCUUUUUUAAAUGUUAAUCUGAUGGUUAUACAUCCCCAUACAAGUAUAUGCAAUUAUGGAGUCAUAAUUAUUACGGUUGAAGUGUUUUUGCUUAUAAUCUAAUUAAAACUCUAAUGAACCGAAUGACUGUGUAAGUAGGUACUUAUAUAAGUCAUGUUAGUGAUGUGUUUGAGGAUGAGAUGAGGUGAGUAACUAUGGUCAAGCAUAUUCCUUGCCUGGUCACGGCCUCUAAUGGUACUUAUAUAACAGAACUCCUUAUGACAAACAGCACGAACAUGUAGAUUGGGCAAUCAAUAGUGCAAAGUGGAUAUAACACUACCUUAAACAGUAGUGUUAUGUUGGGUCUAUUCCUUACUAACAAAAAACAAAAACGGAAGGUUUAAGUUUAUGUCUUUUUUUUAUUUCUGACACUUGAUUUUAAAAGUUUCUAUUUUAUUCCGACAUCCAAAUUAUGUAGAUUUGUUGUUUGUGACUGUACCCUUAUGAAUAUAUCGUUGUAAUAAUAUCUUUUUAAUGUUUUUUUAAUGUCGAAAUCAAACAUUAAUAUUAUGUAAACAUAGCGCAGACGCACAUUACAUUAUCUAAUACAUUAUGGAUAAUAUAACUAUUUUUAUUUAAAUGUUUUGUUUUUAUUAGUUUUAAUUCGUAAGACAAAGACGUUUAUUAUCUUUUAUUAAGACCACCUUUUGACUUUGGGUUCCUGCCUAAAUCUUAUAAAUUUAAGAAGAAAGUGCAGUCUUUAGUCUUUACCACUACCACAGGAGCUUGAAGAAGCGACUGGCCAGUAAUGUCGAAAACAUCAGCCAUGCGACCCGACGCGACGUUGUGGUGCCCGGAAAGAUGGAAAGCGUUGGGCGAUCGCCACGCCGAGUCCCUACCACUAUAUUAUACAAUCAAUCCAAUCUACGACAAUCCCAAUAAAAAAAAAAAAAAAAACUAAAACUCUGCGGUGACGAUCUUCG
rnacentral:lncRNA from 1 species